rnacentral:rRNA from 1 species
CCAGUGGGGAAUAUUGGACAAUGGGGUCAAGCAUGAUCCAGCAAUGCCAAAUCAGUUUUGAAGACCUUAAGGUUGUAAAGCUCUUUCACCCUCGACGAUGAUGAUGGUAGCGAGAGAAGAAGCCCCGGAAAACUUCGUGCCAGCAGCCGCGGUAAUACGGAAGGGGGAGAGCGUUGUUCGGAAUGACUGGGCGUAAAGGGCGUGUAGGCGGUUAACCAAGUUGGGGGUGAAAGCCCGGGGCUCAACCUCGGAAUUGCCUCCAAAAGCCGUACGAGAGAGUGGGGGAGAGGGUUGGAGAAUUCCCAGUGUAGAGGAAAAAUUUGUAGAUAUGGGGAAGAACCCCAGGGGAGAGGGGGGCUACGGCGUGCAUUAGACACGGUGAGGCGAGAGAGCGGGGGGAGCAAACAGGAUUAGAUCCCGGGGUAGUCCACGCCGUAAAAGAUGAGUGAGGGAUGGGGGCCGGUAGCCAUUCAGUGUCGAAGUUAACCUUUAUAGACUUUCCGCCUGGGGAGUACGGCCGCAUCGUUGACGCGAUAAGC